UACGGAAGGUAGCAGUGGGGAAUAUUGCACAAUGGGCGAAAGCCUGAUGCAGCUAUGCCGCGUGUAUGAAGAAGGCCUUAGGGUUGUAAAGUACUUUCAUCGGGGAGGAAAAACAAAACUAAUAAUUUUAUUUCUUGACGUUACCCGAAAAAGAAGCACCGGCUAACUCCGUGCCAGCAGCCGCGGUAAUACGGAGGGUGCUAGCGUUAAUCAGAAUUACUGGGCGUAAAGAGCACGUAGGUGGUUUUUUUAAGUCAGAUGUGAAAUCCCUGGGCUUAACCUAGGAACUGCAUUUUGAAACUAAAAUACUAGAGUAUCGUAGAGGGAGGUAGAAUUCUAGGUGUAGCGGUGAAAUGCGUAGAUAUCUGGAGGAAUACCUGUGGCGAAAGCGGCCUCCUAAACGAAUACUGACACUGAGGUGCGAAAGCGUGGGGAGCAAACAGGGAUUAGAUACC
rnacentral:rRNA from 1 species